rnacentral:lncRNA from 1 species
AAAAAACAAAAGAAAGAAAGGGGGAAACGGGUCCGCUUCAGAAAAUGCAGAAAAAGGGAUUUCAAAAGGAGAAGAAGAAGAAGAUGAAAAAGGCUGGAACCAAACCUUGAGAAAUCUUAAAUACGCACUGGUGUUUACGGGUAAUACUCAAAUUUCUCAUCUGGGUUCUUUUUUCUGGUAAUUCUUUUUAUCUCAGUUCAUAUAUUUGAAGGGUUUCACAAGGUAUAAGAAAUUAAAUACCACGAAGAAUUAUUCUGGGCAAAUCAUGCAAUUGGAAGUUGGUCAAGGUUACUGUAGGAUAACUUCACUUGGAAAAAGAAGGGUAUUGAUGUAUUUGUACUUAAACUAGCCUAAUUAUAUAUGAUCUUUGUUAGGUGUAAAUUAAGUUAGGGUGCAAGGAUUGAGUUUUGGUGUUUAACUAUAUUGUAAUAAAAGUAUCGAAUUUGGGUUGGAAUGUGGUAAGUCCAGUAUUGAGUACAAAGAUAAGUACCAAUUAAUAAGGUAUAUGAUGGACAAUAAGGGUAUUUCAGUUUAAAUUUAUGCACAUGAUUUAGGAAAUUGAACAGUACAGGGAAUAAACCAUAUAAAUACACUUUUAUUUAAAAGAUUUUGGACUAAUUUAAAUCAAUCAUAUGUGGAUAAAUAAAAAUCCACAAAUUAAGACUUAAACAUGAACCCCAAUGAUUGGGUAUUCUAAAUUAGCUAUGAAUUGGCCUAAACAUGGAAAUUAACAUGAGAUCGAUAUUAUGUAAUUAUAGAUUGAUUGGAGGAAUUUGUGCGAAUUGCUCCAGGUGAAGUAUUUUGUAUUUCGGCACGAGUACUGUGAGUAGUAAUCUUACUACAAUUUUUGUUUUCAUAACCUGCAUGGUUUAUACCUUAUUUUGAAAAUAAAAUAUGUUACAUAAUGUUUGAAAUUGCAUGUGGGACAAGUCCUUUACUUGAUAUGGUACUGAACAGUUUGCUUGAGAUGUUUACCGUUAUUUAAAAUGUUCUCACUAUUACUAGACAUGUUUUACUGUUAUUUGAGAUAUGAUUACUGUUACCGAAAUUGGAUUACAAUAUUUGAUAAGAAUUGAAAUCCCCUAUACUAUUUUGAAAAUGCUUCCAUAUGAAUAUUUACUGUUUACAAAGAAAAGUAUAAAUAGGAGGAGACUUUGAAGGAUCCCGUAGCUAACGGCAUGUUCGUUAGACCUGGUGCACCUUGUAUUUACAGAUUACCGAUUACAGUUAUAGCCCUCGCUAUUGGGAAGGUAGAAGUAGCAUACAGUUACAGUUUUCCCUCGAGUAGGGACCUACAGUUAUAUUUGACUCCUUUGACCAAGGGGUCCAUACAGUGUUAGAAAUUACAUGAUCUUUCCUUGGAAACCUCCCAAACAUAAAUAUUUAAUAUGACACAGUGCUUACCGAGUAUAUUACUGAAUUGUUAAAUUGAUUCCUAUUACAGGAAACACAUGAUGAGACUGAUUAUUAUUACUAUUUUUUUUGAAAGGGCAUUUUAUUUUUAUGAUAGUUCCUAAUUAUUAUUAUACAGGCAUGUUUUCUGACUUGUCCCCAAUUAAAAACGGUUGUGGUUCAAUACUAUUACUCACUGAGCUAGCGACUCACUGCCCGCUAUUUUUUUCCAGAGAUAACAGUUGAAGGGCGAGGAUUUCAUUAGUCAGACGCACAAGUUGAUAAUUUCUGGUGAGCCCCGCAUUUGUUCGCGUGGGCGAAGAUUUUAUUUAUUGUUACAGUAUUUUCUUUGAACUCUUAGAGUCGCUCCAUAGUCAAAUUUUUUUAGUGUCCUGAGUAUUCUUCGUUAUUAUAGAUUUAUGUUGAGUAUCGCUCAUUCUUAUCAAAUUUUGAGAUAAAGUAGUAUUUCUAGUUGUUGCUGGGUGGACUAUUAAAGGUAGAUAUUUAUUUUGGUUAAUUGAUAAGGUCAUUGUCAUUUGAAUUGCUAUUAGGAUGUUUGGUUGCUGAUUUGAGACAGGGAAAAUUUUGGGAUAGUCCAAAAACAGGGGAAACUCUGUCCGAUUUUCUCUAAAAUACCGAUGAGGCUUACUUGGGGGCACUUGUUCCUAGGUGCCAGUGAUGAUCCUAAAUUGGGUCAUGACAGGGCUUUGUUCCCUUAGCAUAUUUUAAUGAUUAUGCACUGAUUGUGGCUAGAUUUGGAGCAUCCGAAGGUCGAUUCAUGCGGGCGAGGCAUCACGGGCUAGAGUUUGGACCGGAUCGAUGUAAGUAAUGAUUGUAAAUACUGUCCUGAGGUUUGAAACCCUGGAUUACACAUCGAUGUGCUAUUUUGAGGUGACGCACACACUAGACGACGAGCGUUGAGUUGUGUACCGUUGGGGAUUGUGACUUGGUCCGUCCCGUACGAUUGUUAAGUCGCGUAUUUGAUUUGAAAUCUUAUGAUAUUCCAUGUUCUAGAGAUUGAUAUUAUAUUUUGGGUUGUAUGCCAUGUUGGGGGACUUGUGCCGACCUGUUGAGACCCUUAGGAGCAUUUUUACUAUUUUUCCUCACUCUAUUUGUUUUAAAGCAUAUCCUCAGGCAUGUUUUACAUGUUUAUUGUUUAAAUCUGGCUUUAUCACUAUAUUCUUAAAAAUGUGAAAACUAUUUAGGCUGAGUUCCCUAUUUUACUGAUGGUCCGAGUGAUCAUGAGUUGAUGAUUGAGAUAGACCGAGGGUCUGAUUGUGACAUUGAUGACUGAGAUAGACUACUAACUGAGAGUCUGAUGGUGAGGUCAAUGACUGAAAGAGGC